ensembl:snoRNA
AAGACUACACUUUCAGGGAUCAUUUCUAUAGUUUGUUACUAGGGAAGUUUCUCUGACUGUGUAGAGUACCCGAAACCACGAGGAGGAGAUGUAGCAUUCUCUCCUGAGUGUGAAGCCAGCUUUAGGUGUUGCUUUACUGUAACUUGAUGAUCGUUCUUCUCUCCCUCGGCAGAGUAGAGGGAGAGAAUGCAGUCUGAGUGGUU